CCAAAUAGCCUAAGUACCUUAAAGGCAUCAGAUCCCAUCUGAUCUUGGAAGCUAAGUUUGGUUAGCACUAGUUAGUACUUUGAUGGGUAACUGACAAUGAAUUCAGUGCUUAGUUUCC
rnacentral:rRNA from 1 species